CCUGGCGGCCUGGCCUGCCUCCGGCUUCCCUAUCGUAGGUGCCCCACCAUGGAAGAAGAACGCUUUGCGGAGGAUGCAGUCGCGCUGGGAUCGGCCCCGGCCACCCUCGGCGAGUACCUUGCGGUCUCCCCACGCCUAUGGUCAGAGUCAGACUCUCCUAGCUCUGCUCCCUCAUGUCCUAGCUCUGCUCCAGACCGUCCUAGCGCCGGCCGCCUCGGAUGCAUCUAACACGGCCAUCCCCGACGCGGUCCAGUUCCAGCAAGAUCGGGAAGGAGGAGCUCCCUCAUGUCGUUGCUGUGCUCCAGGCCCUUAUCGUGGGGGCGGCCUCGGAUGCGCCUGAUGCGGCAAUCACCACCGCGCCUGAUGUGACCCGUUUCAAUCCCCUCUCCCUCUACUAAAUUAGCCAAACCUUUUGUUGUUCAUAGUAGUACUGACCCAGAUCAUCUCCUCACGGCGUGGCCUUGGUAAGCACCAUGAACCCCUUCUCCCCUUAAUUAAAUAUAAAUGGACGGCAUGGCUUAUUCUUCUUCUUUCAUGUAACUGUGCAGGUUUAUACUAAAGUCACCAGAACUCCCAUCGUCUAAGUCUGCGUAAUCCCAUCAACAAGUUGAUAGCUUUGGUAAAACUCCAAGUAUGUGUAUUGAUUAUUCAGAGGUUCUUUGCAGUACAAUUUCCUUUUUGGACAAAAUCCUUUGGUUAGUUUCAGAGUAGUAGCAGUUUCUGAGUAAAUUUGUUGUGUUUUGUCAAACAGUAUGUGAAUCAUGCUUCUCACCACAGGGUAGCCCACUUACUUCAUACAAAAUAGGACAUUUGCACACAACGUUUCUAUGUUUUAUCUCUUAAUAUUAGAAAAAUUGUAACAUAUUUCCGCUGCAACACGUACGAUGUUCCUGAUCUCUCCAUUCUCAAACAUCCUUUACUCUGUUGCUUUACUAUAUCAGGCAG
rnacentral:lncRNA from 1 species